CCUCUGCUGAGGAGUCCUACAAUAGGACGAAACGGUAGUCCAGUGC
rnacentral:hammerhead_ribozyme from 1 species